rnacentral:rRNA from 1 species
GGAGAGUUAAAUCCUGGCUCAGGAUGAACGCUGGUGGCAUGCUUAACACAUGCAAGUCAGAUGGGAAACAUGNGGAAACGGCUGUUAAUACCCCGUAGGCUGAGGAGCAAAAGGAGGAAUCUACUCAAAGAGGGGCUCACAUCUUAUUAGCUAGUUGGUGAGGCAAUAUCUUACCAAGAUGAUGAUCAGUAGCUGGUCCAAGAGGAUGAUCAACCACACUAGUACUGAGACACGACCCAGAAUCCUACAAGAGGCAUCAGUGGGGAAUUUUCUGCAAUGGGCGAAAGCCUGAUGGAGAAAUGUCGCGUGGAGGUAGAAGGCCCACGGGUCAUGAACUUCUUUUCCUGGAGAAGAAUAAAUGAAGGUAUCUGGGAAAUAACAAUCGUCUAACUCUAUGCUAGCAGCCGUGGUAAUACAGAGGAUGCAAGCGUUAUCCAAAAUGAUUGGGCAUAAAGUGUCUGUAGGUGGCUUUUAAGUCCACUGUCAAAUCUCAGGGCUCAACCUUGGACAGGUGGUGGAAACUACCAAGCUAGAGUACGAUAGGGGCAGAGGGAAUUUCUAGUAGAGUAGUGAAAUGUGUAGAGAUCGGAAAGAACACCAACGGCGAAAACAAUCUGCUGGGCUAACACUGACACUGAGGGAUGAAAGCUAGGGGAGCAAAUAGGAUUAGAUACCCUAUNCUGCAAAUCCUCGUGAAAGAGAGGUGUGCCUUUGGGAAUAUGGACACAGGUUGUGCAUGGCUGUCAUCAGCUCAUGUCGUAAGGUGUUGGGUUAAGUUCUUCAACGAGUGCAACACUCGUGUUUAGUUUCCAUCAUUGAGUUUGGAACCCUUAACAAACUGCUGGUGAUAAUCCAGAGAAAGGUGAGGAUGAAGUCAAGUCAUUAUGCCCCUUAUGACCUGGGCAAUACACGUACUACAAUGGCCAUGACAAAGGGUUGUGAUCCCGCAAGGGUGAGCUAACCCCAAAAACCCAUCCUUAGUUCAUAUGGCAGGCUACAACUCACUUGCAUGGAGCCAGAAUCACUAGUAAUCGAUGAUCAACCAUACGACGGUGAAUUCAUUCUCAAGCCUUGUACUCUUAUGCCGGCACACUAUGGGAGAUGACCAUGCCCAAAGUCGUUAUCUUAAUCGUAAGAAGGGGGAUGCUGAUGGCAGGGCUAGUGACCGGAGUGAAGUCAUAAUAAGGUAGCAAUACUAGAAGGUGCGGCUG